GUAGCGCUCUUUCUUUCUUAAGAGGAAGCAGCCAUUAGCUGGGAUUUCACGCCACUCGCUAUCUACCUCCGCCUACAGCUCCUGCAUUUCUUAUGAUCUUAUCCCCACACGCCCACCAACCUCGCCGAUGGCAACCACGGGGGCUGCCGCUGCCGCCACCGCCACAGCCGUAGCGCCCCCCUCCACCUCCUCAUCCUCAUCCUUCCUCCUUCCCCGCGGCCGUUCUAUCCCUCUAGCGUCCACGGCCCCCCGCUGCCGCUUCCCGCCGCCGCGGUGGCGCGUGCGUCUCCACAUCGCGCGCCGGGUGGCCGUCGGCAGCGACGUGUCCUCGUCCCCGGACGUGGCCGCCGAGGAGGCCGCGGCCGCGCCCAAGAUUGGGAGGCGCGUGCGCGUCACGGCGCCGGUCCGCGUCCACCACGUCUCCAAGGCGCCGGGCCUUGAGCUGCGCGGCAUGGAGGGCGUCGUCAAGCAAUACGUCGGCGUGUGGAAGGGCAAGCGGAUCACGGCCAAUCUCCCCUUCAAGGUGGGGAUUGAGCUCAAGCUGGACGGCCAGGACAAGCCGGUCCAGUUCUUCGCCCACCUCCGCGAGGAAGAGUUCGAGAUCGUCGGAGACGAAUAGAUAACUCGGUUACAGGAAUAAUUCGCUCUUGGCAGCCGGUGUGGCAUCUGUAUACUAUCGUGUCAGUGUGAAGGGAGGAGGUUGAAGUGGGUGAGGAGAUGGCAAUAUGCCAAACUGAUUUUAGUACAGUGCAUUGGAGCUUCUAAUGGACUGAUAGACCAAUCAAACCUUCUUAUAGAUCUUGGUAGUUCAGCAUGGGCUUGCUUAUGUGUUAUGUACGGAAUUACUUAUCAAAGGAGGCGCCCCAAAAGGAAGUAAAUCAAAGACCUAUUCAGAUUAGUUAAGUUGGGUGAGAAUAAAAGUUAAGUCUUAUUAGUAUUGGAGUCGGUUUUGUAACCUUCCAUAAUUAGUAUUCUUAUUAGUAUUGGAGUUGGUUUUGUAACCUUCCAUAAUUAGUACUUUCCAACCCUUCAUAUAUUGGGGUUGUCGCAACUGUAAGGGGCAAGCAAUUUCAAUACAAUCUAUUAUCUCAUCUCUAUUUCUCUACUCCUCA